GGCAGUGGUAGUGCAGUGGUUAAGACGUUGGACUACUGAUCGGAGGAUUGUUAGUUUAAAUCCCAGUGCUGCCA